CGUCUGCCGCACUGCUACAGUUGGCAUCAGGGUCUCUUCAUCUUCCUGAUAUAUGGGGUGUACAACACAGAGGGGGAAUCUUUUCAAGGCACCCUAUUCAGGCUAAAUGUAAAACUUUCAAAAUGCCUUGGCCUUGAAGUGCACAGAGAUACACAAGGAU